rnacentral:rRNA from 1 species
UACGGAGGGAGCUAGCGUUGUUCGGAAUUACUGGGCGUAAAGCGCGCGUAGGCGGCGUAUCAAGUCAGGGGUGAAAUCCCGGAGCUCAACUCCGGAACUGCCCUUGAAACUAGUAUGCUAGAAUCCUGGAGAGGCGAGUGGAAUUCCGAGUGUAGAGGUGAAAUUCGUAGAUAUUCGGAAGAACACCAGUGGCGAAGGCGACUCGCUGGACAGGUAUUGACGCUGAGGUGCGAAAGCGUGGGGAGCAAACAGG